AUACGUAGGGAGCGAGCGUUACCCGGAAUUACUGGGCGUAAAGCGCGUGUAGGCGGCUUCGUUAGUCGGAUGUGAAAUCCCAGGGCCCAACCCUGGAACUGCAUCCGAUACUGCGAAGCUAGAGUCCUGGAGAGGAUGGCGGAAUUCCGGGUGUAGAGGUGAAAUUCGUAGAUAUCCGGAGGAACACCAGAGGCGAAGGCGGCUCACUGGACUGAUACUGACGCUGAGGUACGAAAGCGUGGGGAGCAAACAGGAUUAGAUACCCCAGUAGUCC
rnacentral:rRNA from 1 species